rnacentral:rRNA from 1 species
GCUGGCGGCGUGCUUAACACAUGCAAGUACGAACGCGAACGUUUCCUUCGGGGAACUAGUAGAGUGGCGCACGGGUGAGUAACGCGUAAGUAAUCUACCCUCGCAUCCGGGAUAACCCACCGAAAGGUGUGCUAAUACCUGAUACGU